rnacentral:rRNA from 1 species
GAUGAACGCUAGCUACAGGCUUAACACAUGCAAGUCGAGGGGAAACGACAUCGAAAGCUUGCUUUUGAUGGGCGUCGACCGGCGCACGGGUGAGUAACGCGUAUCCAACCUGCCCACCACUUGGGGAUAACCUUGCGAAAGUAAGACUAAUACCCAAUGAUAUCCCACGAAGACAUCUGAAUGGGAUUAAAGAUUUAUCGGUGAUGGAUGGGGAUGCGUCUGAUUAGCUUGUUGGCGGGGUAACGGCCCACCAAGGCAACGAUCAGUAGGGGUUCUGAGAGGAAGGUCCCCCACAUUGGAACUGAGACACGGUCCAAACUCCUACGGGAGGCAGCAGUGAGGAAUAUUGGGCAAUGGGCGAGAGCCUGAACCAGCCAAGUAGCGUGCAGGAAGACGGCCCUAUGGGUUGUAAACUGCUUUUAUAAGGGAAUAAAGUGGGUCACGUGUGACUUUUUGCAUGUACCUUAUGAAUAAGGACCGGCUAAUUCCGUG